AACAAAAGAGUGUUUGCUUAAAGCUGAACAUUGCAAAUGUUGUAAAAGAACAAAAUAAUCCAAAUGUGAUGCCAAUGGAAAUUUCUGAGCCUUGUGAAACUAUGAAAAUUGUUAAAGACGCUAACUGCUUUUUUCGAGCCUUAGCCUAUGGUGUAAGUGGAACGGAACGAGAACACAGAAAAGUAAGACGGGCUGUAGUUACACACAUACUGCAGAAUGAAGAAAAGUAUGUACAGUAUCUCAGACAAGGAUACAGCUCUGUACCGGAGUACAUUGCCACAUCAAGAAUGAAAUUUGUUGGAAAUUGGGCAACAGAGAUGGAAAUACAAGCAGCCAGUGAUUUAAUUGGUGUAGACAUUUUUACAUAUAGUCAAGAGAAAUGGUUUAAGUUUUCAUCUUCAAAUGUGUCCUUUAAUACACAUGGCUGUCAAGAGAUCGGCAUAUAUUUGAAACAUGUGAAUAGCUGUCAUUAUGAAGUUGUUGUAUGUGGAAAGAGCAAGGACGGUAACUGUGCUUCCCUUUGUAAAUCAGCAAUUCAAGAUCCAUUGUUUAAUGUAGCAACAAAUGUGUCUUCAGAGUCAUGUGAGGAUUAUAAGAAGAAACUUAAAUGCAACAAUAGUCCUGAGUUCAAAGAAGAAAAACAAGUGAAGUCAAAGAAAAGAUUCCAUGAGGACGAAAGUUACAUUUCAAUGAUGAAAUCCAUCAAUAAAAAAUAUAAGAAAAAUGAACAGCAUAAAGGAAAAGUAAAGAAAAGUGUGGACAAAUCAAAUGACAAAUCCAAUGAUGUACACUGCGAAGCUGUGUCAGAAGUGGAAGUUGAUAUUGCCUGCAGUCAAUCUUUGAGAGAUGUUAUAAACACAGAUAAAGUAUCUGUGAACGAAAUGUAUGCGGAAAAAAAAACAGAAACACCUUUUUUAUACCUAACAAAUGAAAAUGCAAGUGAUGUUGAAUUUAUUUCAGAAACUGCUACUGUUUCUUUACAAAGUGUGGAAAAGUACAAAACAAAUGACACAGAUGACCAAUCAGAUGAUUUAAAGUGCAAAGCUGUGUCCCAAAUGGAAGCUGAUGUUGUCUGCAGUCAAUUUUCGAGUGAUUUCAUAAGUACAGAUGAAGUAUCCGUGAAUGAAAUGUGUACUGAACAGAAAACAG
rnacentral:lncRNA from 1 species